CUCUUUGCAUCACUUUUAUUUUUUUUCAAAUAAACUUUGGGGAGAUAAGGAGAUUUAUUGCCUCUUAUAUCCCUCUGUUGAGCCAAAAAAGAAAUGGAUAGUAUCUCCUUUAAGAUAAAUCUCCGAAUAUUUUUCUUCAAUAUUUUUUUUUUUUUUUUGUUGAUAGCUCAUGACAGUGGAGCAUAUAUUUUGCUCGAAAUAAGGCAAAACUUUUGGUCUCGGGUGGAAUCAGGAAUGGCGUCGAGUGUGGUGAAAUCCCUAAUCAAAUCAUCAUCUUCCUCACACCGCCAAAUGGAUGCAGGAACUGAUCAUUGAACAUAGAUUUUUCGGGAGCAUAAGCCAAUUAGACUACAAUGAGAAACCAAAUGUAACACUAUUCUAGGUAGCCUGCAUUUCAAUCAAGUUCCUUGUCAGUGAAACUCUGAGCACAUUUUACUAGUCAACACACUGUGUUGGUUCAGAUGGUGUUCGUGUUGUCAUCUUAGCUUUACAACAAUGAGUGUUCUGCAUAAGAGAAUAGAGUGCUUGUAGUAUGAGGCUGGAGGACACGAUGGAGCUGCUGGAGAAGAAGCUAGCGUCAGAUGAGCUUAGAGGAGGCACUCACUCUCGCUCGUGUUUUCAGCCAUUACCUCAAUUUGAUGGGCGUUGCUGAAGUUCAUCACAGGUCACUCAACGACUUGAUCUCUCUGUAUUAUUUUUUUUAAUACUAAAUCUUUUGUUUUUUGAUAUGUGCUGUGUGUGUUUAUACUUGUUUGGAAAUGAAAUAUGAAGCACCAGAGCUUCAGGAAAUAGUAGUGCUUAUCAAGGAUUGACUUCUAACUUUGGUUCUACGGUUAAAAUUGUGACAUUCUUAGCUUCCGAAAAGAUAACAUGAAAAAACAAAAAUUGGUUGAAAUUCUUUCAGCUGUGAAUUUUAUAAGCAUUUUGGUUAAUUUAGAGAAAGUUGUUGAUUUGUGCAGGGUUCGUAGACAAAAGAAUGUGGCAUCCCUAUCAAAAUCUUGUGAUGAUAUUUUUAAUCAGCUUCUCAGCAUGGUGUUUCCCCAGACCAGCUUUACGAUACCGUUUGCAAGCAGGAGGUCAAGAUUGUUCUUACUGCACAUCCUACACAAAUUAAUCGCGGAACCUUACAAUACAAACAUAUCAGACUUUCUCAUCUUUUAAAUUUAAGAGACCGACCUGAUCUUACUAGUAAAGACAAAGAUAUGGUGCGAGAGAUAACUUUUGUAUGGCAAACAGAUGAGCUUAGACACCAUAAACCCACACCAGUUGAUGAAGCUAGGGCACUUUUGAACAUUGUGGAGCAGCCCCUUUGGAAAGUUGUACCUCAUUAUUUACGUCGUGUCAGCAAUGCUUUAAAGAAGCACACUGGGAAACUGGAAAACCACUUCCUUUGAAAUGCACACCAAUCAGGUUUGGGUCUUGGAUAGGGGUUGAUCAAGAUGGAAAUCCCAAUGUGACAGCAAAGGUCACAAAAGAUGUCUCGCUUUUAUCUAGGUGGAUGACUAUUGAUCUCUAUAUUAGAGAAGUGGAUAGCCUGAAAUUUGAACUAUCCAUGAAUUAGUGCAGCGAUAGCUUGUCAAAACUGGCACAAGAGAUUCUAGAGCACGGUAUGACAUAUUGCAGUUAUUUUCAGUGGUCAUUAAUAUUGGCUGCUUGGUAUCAUGUAGAGACUACCAAAGCAUAGCUUCCAUUGUUUUUCUUUGACAAUUUCCUUAACAGAUUACUCCUAUGUUUCUGAUUUUUUUUUUUUUUAUUGCUUGAACUUUAGUUUGAGGGGCUGGGAUUAUGUUGUUCUGAGACUCGGAUCUUAUUAAUAGAACAAUUUAAAUCUCUAGAUCACUUCUGUGUAUGCAGAAUAAAAAACGUUGAAAGGCAGAUGAACGCUCUUACUUUAUGUUCUGCCAAGCAGGUAGACCAGAUGGUUAAUUAGUGAAAGUAAUUGAGUGAAAAAACUGGAGUCAUAGUUUACAAAAUUCUUUGUGUUUUAUGGACCUAUGGGAAUUUGACUUCUCUUACCCCAUCUCUUCUAUGCGUAAGUACACACUGGUCAUCCCUCCUGGUUUCUUAAGGUUUCAAUUUAUUUUUAAUAGAUGAUGAAUAUUCUUGUGAAUCAAUUUAUAAUGUUAACGUAAUUGAGAUUCUCUCAUCAGAAUCUGCAUCUGAGGAUCACCAGAGUUGGGAUCAUCAGUGUUAUAAUAGGAAUCAGGUAAAGUAACAACCUGCAGCACUUCCAACACAACUUCCAGCUAGAGCUGAUCAACCGUCUUGCACUGAAUGCAAUGUUGUUCAUCUUCACUAUCCCAGAAUUGAAAUGUUGGUCAUUUUAACUGAAGAUUGCAUUGGGGCAGGAAUCUGGUAGACAUGCUGAAACACUUAAUGAAAUUACCAAAUAUUUGGAUAUGGGCACAUACAGUGAGUGGGAUGAAGAAAAGAAACUGGAAUUUCUAACAAGAGAGUUCAAAGGAAAAAGACCGCUAGUCCCACCUAGCAUGGAGGUAAAGUAGUAGUGUUAGGACUUAGGAUUACUAUGCUCCAAAGUUCAGAAUAAGUUACUUCUACCCGAAUUUUUCAAAAAAAA